rnacentral:misc_RNA from 1 species
CUCAACCGCAAGGAGGGGGAUGCCUAAGGCAGGGCUAGUGACUGGGGUGAAGUCGUAACAAGGUAGCCGUACCGGAAGGUGUGGCUGGAUCACCUCCUUAAAGGGAGACCUAAUUCAGGUAGGAGACGAAAAAAAGUAGUCCCUACCAAGAAUCAAUCCCAAAAGGUCGGAGCGAGGCGAAAUUGGCUUUCAAACUAGGUUCUGGGUUCACACAAGACCUGAAUCAGGAACAAGGGCUAUUAGCUCAGGUGGUUAGAGCGCACCCCUGAUAAGGGUGAGGUCCCUGGUUCGAGUCCAGGAUGGCCCACCUGCACAGGUGGCAAAAACAAAGAAAAAAGGCUCCGAAUCAGCACCUUAUCUUACUUAUAUAGUAAGAGAGAAUGCUGGCUCUGAGUACAGAGUCCAGAGGAACCUUGAAAACUGCAUAGAGCUAGGUGAAAAAGCCAAAAAAGAAGACCGUUAGGUCAAGCUAAUAAGGGCUAACGGUG